rnacentral:rRNA from 1 species
GAUGAACGCUGGCGGCGUGCUUAACACAUGCAAGUCGAACGAGAAUCAACGGAUUGAGGAUUCGUCCAAAUGAAGUUGAGGAAAGUGGCGGACGGGUGAGUAACGCGUGAGGAACCUGCCUCGGAGUGGGGAAUAACAGUUGGAAACAGCUGCUAAUACCGCAUAAUGCAACGGAAUCGCAUGACUCUGUUGCCAAAGAUUUAUCGCUCUGAGAUGGCCUCGCGUCUGAUUAGCUAGUUGGCGGGGUAACGGCCCACCAAGGCGACGAUCAGUAGCCGGUCUGAGAGGAUGAACGGCCACAUUGGGACUGAGAUACGGCCCAG